AGUGAACGCUGGCGGUAGGCCUAACACAUGCAAGUCGAACGGCAGCACAGUAAGAGCUUGCUCUUACGGGUGGCGAGUGGCGGACGAGUGAGGAAUACAUCGGCAUCUACUUUUUCGUGGGGGAUAACGUAGGGAAACUUACGCUAAUACCGCAUACGACCUACGGGUGAAAGCAGGGGAUCUUCGGACCUUGCGCGAUUGAAUGAGCCGAUGUCGGAUUAGCUAGUUGGCGGGGUAAAGGCCCACCAAGGCGACGAUCCUUAGCUGGUCUGAGAGGAUGAUCAGCCACACUGGAACGGAGACACGGUCCAGACUCCUACGGGAGGCAGCAGUGGGGAAUAUUGGACAAUGGGCGCAAGCCUGAUCCAGCCAUACCGCGUGGGUGAAGAAGGCCUUCGGGUUGUAAAGCCCUUUUGUCGGGAAAGAAAAGCAGCAGGUUAAUACCCCGCUGUUCUGACGGUACCCAAAGAAUAAGCACCGGCUAACUUCGUG
rnacentral:rRNA from 1 species